rnacentral:rRNA from 1 species
AGAGUUUGAUCCUGGCUCAGGAUGAACGCUAGCGGCAGGCCUAAUACAUGCAAGACGAGCGGUAAUUCAAAUAGCAAUAUUUGGACUAGAGCGUCGUAAGGGUGCGUAACACGUAUGCAAUCUGCCCGGAACAGGAGGAUAGCUCGGGGAAACUCGAAUUAACACUCCAUAAGACAGUGGUGUGGCAUCACACAGCUGUUAAAUCUACGGAGGUUCCGGAUGAGCAUGCGGAUGAUUAGCUAGUUGGCGGUGUAACGGACCACCAAGGCAAUGAUCAAUAGGGGAACUGAGAGGUUGAUCCCCCACACUGGCACUGAGAUACGGGCCAGACUCCUACGGGAGGCAGCAGUAGGGAAUAUUGGACAAUGGGUGCAAGCCUGAUCCAGCCAUGCCGCGUGCAGGAAGAAGGCUUUCUGAGUUGUAAACUGCUUUUGCCAGGGGAUAAAAUACGGGUGCGCCCGGAAUUGAAGGUACCUGGUGAAUAAGCCACGGCUAACUACGUGCCAGCAGCCGCGGUAAUACGUAGGUGGCAAGCGUUGUCCGGAUUUAUUGGGUUUAAAGGGUGCGUAGGCGGUCUUCUAAGACAGGUGUGAAAUCCCCGGGCUUAACCUGGGAAUUGCGCUUGUAACUGGCAAGCUAGAGUGUGGCAGAGGGGGGUGGAAUUCCACGUGUAGCAGUGAAAUGCGUAGAUAUGUGGAGGAACACCGAUGGCGAAGGCAGCCCCCUGGGUUAACACUGACGCUCAUGCACGAAAGCGUGGGGAGCAAACAGGAUUAGAUACCCUGGUAGUCCACGCCCUAAACUAUGUCAACUAGUUGUCGGGGAAGAAAUUCCUUGGUAACGAAGCUAACGCGUGAAGUUGACCGCCUGGGGAGUACGGCCGCAAGGUUAAAACUCAAAGGAAUUGACGGGGACCCGCACAAGCGGUGGAUUAUGUGGAUUAAUUCGAUGCAACGCGAAAAACCUUACCUACCCUUGACAUGCUAGGAAGCCCGCAGAGAUGUGGGUGUGCCCGAAAGGGAACCUAGACACAGGUGCUGCAUGGCUGUCGUCAGCUCGUGUCGUGAGAUGUUGGGUUAAGUCCCGCAACGAGCGCAACCCUUGCCAUUAGUUGCUACAUUCAGUUGGGCACUCUAAUGGGACCGCCGGUGACAAACCGGAGGAAGGUGGGGAUGACGUCAAGUCCUCAUGGCCCUUAUGGGUAGGGCUUCACACGUAAUACAAUGGUCGGUACAGAGGGCUGCCAACCCGCAAGGGGGAGCUAAUCCCAGAAAGCCGAUCGUAGUCCGGAUUGUAGUCUGCAACUCGACUGCAUGAAGCCGGAAUCGCUAGUAAUCGCGGAUCAGCAUGUCGCGGUGAAUACGUUCCCGGGUCUUGUACACACCGCCCGUCACACCAUGGGAGUGGGUUCCACCAGAAGUAGUUAGCCUAACCGCAAGGAGGGCGAUUACCACGGUGAGAUUCAUGACUGGGGUGAAGUCGUAACAAGGUA